UGCCAGCCGCCGCGGUAAUACGAAGGGUGCUAGCGUUGUUCGGAAUUACUGGGCGUAAAGAGCAUGUAGGCGGAUUAGUAAGUUAGGGGUGAAAUCCCGAGGCUCAACCUCGGAACUGCCUCUAAAACUGCUAGUCUUGAGUUCGAGAGAGGUGAGUGGAAUUCCGAGUGUAGAGGUGAAAUUCGUAGAUAUUCGGAGGAACACCAGUGGCGAAGGCGGCUCACUGGCUCGAUACUGACGCUGAGGUACGAAAGUGUGGGGAGCAAACAGGAUUCGAUA
rnacentral:rRNA from 1 species